GCUAGAGGCUGCACAGCCCGCCGGGACCCCCGCCGCCGUGCCCGCCGCCGCCGGGCCGGCGCCCUCCCGUUUCCUUCCUCCAGGGGGAAAAAAAAAUGUCCUUCGGGCCGCUGUCCGGGAAGCGGCAGCAUGUGGCGCUCCGCUGUCAGUAGCAACAAGGUCAGCGCCCCUUCUCCGCGUCUUGUCCCCUCAGCUCUCGCGCUCAGGUGGGACAGAGCCAGCUGCGCAAACCAUGCAGGAUGAUUUACUGAUGGACAAAAGCAAAACCCAGCCCCAGUCUCAGCAGCAGCAGCGGCAGCAGCAGCAGCAGCAGCAACAGCUCCAGCCCGAGCCCGGCGCAGCUGAAGCCCCGUCCACGCCCCUCUCCUCAGAGAUCCCCAAGCCCGAAGACAGUAGCGCAGUGCCGGCCCUCAGCCCCGCCUCGGCUCCGCCAGCCCCCAACGGCCCCGACAAGAUGCAGAUGGAGUCGCCGCUCCUGCCGGGCUUGAGUUUCCAUCAGCCCCCUCAGCAGCCGCCGCCGCCGCAGGAGCCCACGGCGCCCGGAGCGUCGCUGUCGCCGUCCUUCGGCAGCACCUGGUCCACAGGCACUACAAACGCGGUGGAGGACAGCUUCUUCCAGGGGAUCACCCCAGUCAACGGGACCAUGCUCUUCCAAAACUUCCCGCACCACGUCAACCCGGUCUUCGGAGGCACCUUCUCGCCGCAGAUCGGCCUGGCGCAGACCCAGCACCAUCAGCAGCCUCCACCGCCCGCGCCGCAGCCGCCGCAGCCCGCGCAGCCCCCGCAGGCGCAGCCCUCGCAGCAACGCCGCUCGCCCGCCAGCCCCAGCCAGGCGCCCUAUGCGCAGAGGAGCGCCGCUGCCUACGGCCACCAGCCCAUCAUGACCAGCAAGCCGUCCUCAUCCUCGGCGGUCGCGGCUGCUGCGGCCGCGGCCGCUGCCUCUUCGGCCUCGUCCAGCUGGAACACGCACCAGAGCGUGAACGCCGCCUGGAGUGCUCCGUCCAACCCGUGGGGUGGCCUGCAGGCGGGCCGAGACCCUCGCCGCGCGGUCGGCGUGGGCGUGGGUGUAGGUGUGGGGGUACCCUCCCCGCUUAACCCCAUCUCGCCGCUCAAAAAGCCCUUCUCCAGCAAUGUGAUCGCUCCACCCAAGUUCCCUCGUGCAGCCCCGCUCACCUCCAAGUCCUGGAUGGAGGAUAACGCUUUCCGGACCGAUAAUGGUAACAAUCUGUUGCCUUUUCAGGACCGGAGUAGGCCCUAUGACACUUUUAACUUGCACUCCUUGGAGAACUCCUUAAUGGAUAUGAUAAGGACUGACCAUGAGCCUCUGAAAGGUAAACACUACCCUCCCAGUGGCCCACCAAUGAGUUUCGCUGAUAUAAUGUGGAGGAAUCAUUUUGCAGGACGCAUGGGAAUAAAUUUCCACCAUCCAGGAACAGAUAACAUUAUGGCACUUAACACCAGGAGCUAUGGGCGGAGACGAGGUCGGUCUUCUCUCUUUCCCUUUGAAGACGCCUUCUUGGAUGACAGCCAUGGUGAUCAGGCCUUAUCGUCUGGCUUAAGUUCUCCUACUCGAUGUCAAAAUGGGGAACGAGUGGAACGCUACUCUAGAAAGGUGUUUGUUGGAGGCCUUCCUCCUGACAUCGAUGAAGAUGAGAUCACUGCCAGCUUUCGCAGGUUUGGACCCCUUGUGGUGGACUGGCCUCAUAAAGCCGAGAGCAAAUCGUACUUCCCUCCUAAAGGCUAUGCUUUCCUGCUGUUCCAGGAGGAGAGCUCAGUGCAAGCUCUGAUAGAUGCCUGCCUGGAGGAGGAUGGGAAACUGUACCUGUGUGUGUCCAGCCCAACCAUCAAGGAUAAACCGUUGAACUGGCAAUGAUAAUGGACCGUUUGUACGGUGGUGUUUGCUAUGCUGGCAUUGACACAGACCCAGAGCUGAAGUACCCGAAAGGUGCUGGGCGUGUUGCGUUCUCCAAUCAGCAGAGCUACAUUGCAGCCAUCAGUGCGCGCUUUGUGCAACUUCAACACAACGACAUUGACAAACGGGUGGAAGUGAAGCCGUACGUGCUGGAUGAUCAGAUGUGUGACGAGUGUCAGGGCACACGCUGCGGGGGGAAGUUUGCCCCAUUCUUCUGUGCCAACGUCACCUGUCUGCAGUACUACUGUGAAUACUGCUGGGCCAGCAUCCACUCCCGAGCCGGCCGUGAGUUCCACAAACCGCUGGUGAAGGAGGGAGGCGACCGCCCCCGGCACGUCCCGUUCCGCUGGAGCUGAGCCCCAGGCCGCCACAGCUACAAGUACUGGAGUAGAUCACAAGGAGGAAGAGAGGGCACUGCCUCAGGGCUCACGGUGUUCUGGAAAUCUGUGCAUUCGUUCUCGAUUUUUAAAGAAGAAAUGGGUCUUUUUAUUAUUAUUAUUAUCAUUUACAGUCAUAUUACUGAACUCAACGUCCAGUAUAAUGCAGAAUCACAGAGUGUGUAACGGUACCCAUUUGCACCUUUGACUCACACCUUGUCUGCUUGGUACCUUGAUUUCUUAUACCUGACCUGUCUGUCACCUCCACAGUUCCGUAGACUGCCAUUCUCAUCCGCAGCCGUCAGGUUGACGUCUGUGACUCUGUGUUUGAUGUCGUGUUGUCGUUGCUCUGAUUGGUCUUGACUGGAGCACGCUUAUUUUCAGAGACUUAGAGAGUCACCCCUAGGACAAGACUUACCAAAGGCCACACAUGUACGUAGAGGCCGACGUAGCAAACACUUUACAAUCAGCACUCAAUAGUGGGGUCACGUAGAGUAAGGUUAGCCCUUAAUGAAAAUAAGCCUGUAGUUGCUCUGUACUUUGACGUGUAUGGAUACCUCACAAGCUGGGUCUUUCAUUUUCCUUCAUGUUUGAUUUUUUGUUUUGCUGAGGAUUUGGGUUAGAUCUUUUAGUGUUAUGUAAAUUUAUGCUGCAAUAGCUUUUGCUGCUAUUAAAAUGGUAUUGUUGAUACCAUAAUACUCUAUUCAGGAUAAGGUAUCAAUUAAAAACAAAAAACAAGAACCCAACAACACACUUUUGUGGUUUAGGGAUAGAGCCAGCUGCCGGAGGGAGAUCAUAUGAGACCAGAGAGAGCCAUCGGAGGCCGCCGUUCCUGACUGCAUGUUUACUUAAUGCGGUUGCUGCAUGCAAUAAAUUUUAUAUCCAAUGUCUAGUAUAAAACCUUCCCACAGUGCACAAAUUAAGAAUCUAUAUAAGCUAUAAAAUACUCAUUUUUUUAAAAAGAAUUUCUUUUUCACUCAAAGACUUGGUAAUCUGUGGGAGGAAGGCAUGCCUCAGUGGGUGGACUGCCCGUGGACAGCGAGAGCCUGUAACAGGGCGACCAGUAUUACAACCAAUAGACAACCUAGUGUAGGAUGCUCUUCCAGUAACCCUGGGGGGGGGGGGGGGAUGAAGUACUGCGGUGCUCUGUUACAUAUUGUGCAAUUUAUUUUAUAUAGUAAAGUGAUUAUGUCUAACUGUGAUCAAACGUAACUGUUUGAAGCCGUGUCAGCCGUGGAUGAGCGUGACCAUUCAUAACUGGUGUAUUAACACACGAGCUCCGAGUUAGGACCUCUCCUGGUGCUUGCACCACUUCACCCAGCUUCAGACCUUGUCCAGACAGCCAAAGAGCUCAGCUUACAAACACUAAGAACACACACAGUGUCUAGAAUAAGUCGGCAGACUGACACGGAGGCACAUAGCUAAGGAGGCCACGUAAGGGUGAUGCUAAAGAAAUGUCUGCACCAAGCGAGCCAGCCUGGGCAGAGGGGCCUUCUGUGAGACGGUCACUGCUUAGUUCCCUGGAUGCAUCCUGUAUAGCUUGACUAGAGUGAAGCCCUGCUCGUGCUAGCGCGGACCUUUUAGUGUUCACUCCUGGGCUGCAGAGAGUAACGGAGACACGUGGUGAUUGCAAGACUCUGUAACGCUUGCUUUUUAAACCCUUCUUCCUUUGUUUUGCAUUCUGGGGACAAUCUGACUGGAUGUGGCACUGCAGAGUAGACAGAAGUCAAUGUGUCUUUUGUGCUGUGAUGUCCUUGUUCUGUCUUGAAGUUACUGUUGUGUGGUUUUGUUAUAGUUGGUUCUUUUUUUUCUCUUUUUCUCUCCAGUGUUUAAUUGUGAAUACUGGCUCUCCAGCUACAGUUUGUUUUCAAAAAAAAAAAAAUGGAGAAACAGAAUAGUUUUUUACUGAAUUAAAAGAUGCCUAUUAGACCCCUCCCCCUUUCGGGUUUCCCCUGGACCCUUUGGUAAUACUGCUUUCCUGCAGCCCAGAUGUGCUUUGCUUUGCUUUGGUUCCUUUUUCUAUGUUUGUGUUUUACUUUGUUUUCAUCUGUAUGGGAAAUUUUGUUACGCACUACUACUUUUUAUAUUCUAGAACGUUUUCAAAAGUUGGCUGAUGAUUUUCGCUUGUUUGUUUCUAAGGAAAAAGGCAUGCUUUCUGACUGACAUGAUCUUUUGCAAUACCUCAAUUUUGAAAUAUAGGAAAGAAAAUGAUAUUUUCUAAGUAAGUUUAUUCAGAAAAUAUAUAUUAAUUUAAUUCUGCAAGAAAAUGAUUUAACAGAUGGGUAACUUUAUUUUUUUCAUGCUUAUUUGUGUUUUUUGAAAAUGAAGAAGUUAGAGCUUUAUAACUAUAAUAUUAAAGAUCAUAUCUAACCUACAGAAAUCUACCUAAUUAUGUGAAACAUGCAAAUGUUUGGAAGAAGCACCCCUCUUUCAUGUACUAAAAUAACCCUGAGCUCUAGAGGAGCCAGAAGACUGCGCAGUGUAAGCUAGCGCGAAGGCCACAGUGUCGCAGAGACCAGGUUGUCAGAGACUCCACUUGGUGCUGAGGGCUGUGACUGAGGAAACUGCUUUCCCUUAAUUUGUAUAUUUAUAAUCAAGUGUUGAUCGUGUGACUGGCCAGGACUGUGAAAGAGCUCUUCUGUUUGUAUUUUUUUAAAGAGAACUUUUUUAGUUUAUUAAAUUAUAACAUGUUCCCUUUUGUUUUGUAAAUAAAUGUGCCCCCCCCCCAAGUUCUUAAUGUUAUAUUAAAAGAGAGGGUCCUUCAAAAAAAUUAUUUUUUAAAAAAAACACAGAGGUGUUCUGCCCUGCAACUUGACUGGGAAGCCCCUGGGUAACACAGGUCCUGCUGUGGCCUUUCCUUGAUGGGACACUUGAACUAGUGGAUUUUUUGAAGGCUGUAACUAACCUCGACUCUUUGUUGUUAUGUGCAAUACUGUUUGUACUGUUUGUAUAAAAAAUAGAAAAAAAAGACAAGAAAAAAGGCCUAAACCUUUAUUGCAGACUUAUUUUCAUUGCAGACUUUAGACAUUGUGACUCACAGAACUCAUUUUCUACUGUCAAAUAUGUACCUUUCCCUCAUGCUGGUAUUUUUUCAAUAGUAACGUAGCCUUUGUACUGAGACAAAUUUUCAUUGUUAUUUUUAGAAAGAUUUUUUGCUAAGAAAAAAAAUUAAACAUAUUUACAUAUUUUUCAUUUUAUUUCGUAUUUUCUUUAAGGAGUGCUUUCUCAAUCAUUACUAGAGUUGUUUCUGGGAGGGACUUUCAUAUCUGGUCAACGUCAUAAUAUUAUUUUGUAUUUUUACUUGGAAUAAAUUAAUUUUAUGAUGCUAAUUCUUUAAAGGUUUAUUUUUUUCAUUUCAGUUAUUUUUGAAGCUAAAAACCUUUGUAAUAUUGUUACUAAAGUGUCUAGUUUUUUGAAAUGCAAAGCUUUAUGUAUUAACUUGCCGAUGUGGUUUACAAUAUGACAAGGGUGGAAACGGUUGGUUCUGUAACGUGACUGGGACUGUAACGGACAAUUGGAUAAUAAAACGACAGAAUGAGCAGAACGUGCGAGAUCUCAACAAGCCUUUUCCUUUAUUACAGUGUUCAGUGUAAGACUAGGGAUGUCACAGUACAGGUCUCUAAGGAUGUCACAGUGGGUUUAUACAACACCAGAUGCAGCCAAGCAGCCAAAUCCGUGGCCAGAUAACGAAGUCACCCCUCCUGAAAUAGCAUUGGGUGUGAAGCCUAGCUCGGCCAGCAGUGUCCAGUGCUUUCCCUAAAAUGUGCUUCGUGUGUGUGUGUGUGUGUGUGUGUGUGUGUGUGUGUGUGCGUGCGAGUGAGAGAGAGAGAGAGAGACAGAGAGAGACAGAGAGAGAGAGAGAGAGAGAGAGAGAGAGAGAGAAUGAGAAUCCACCACCUACUGCUGUCAGUGUAUGUAUGAGCUGGUGCCUUCCGCCUUCCGCCCCAGAUCUUUCACUCUCAUGCACAGUGGUGACAUGUGUGAGAAGACUCCACCUUGUAUGCGGCAGGACUUGAAUGCCUCACCUGAUGUGUCCCCAGGCAGGGCUGGCAGCAGGCCUGGGGAAGCACAGGGUCACCACUGUCUGUGUUAGCUGCAUCUUUCUCACUCCCCAUCUGUUCUCUGUAAUGGGGCCCCUUGCUUGCCUUUCCUUGGGGUGACAUUGGGCCACUCUGUGCAUGAUCUGUCUGCCUUCCUGCUGCUGCUUCUUCAGUCCCCCCCCCACACCGUCUGCCCCCCCCCCCCCCCGUGUGCACUGUGGAAGGCAGCUGUUGCCAAGGCACUGCAGUUACUGCAGAGACAUCUGAGUGCAGAGCCGGUGUUGUGUAAACAGAACAUCCAGGGACUUGCUCUACAUAGAUGGUGCAUUUCUGCUAGUUGUUGGUGGCCUCUUCUAGUUCUGUUGAAGUGGAGAGAGGUCAAUCAAUAACAGAUAAGCGUGUGUCCAGAGGUGGCUCUUGGGUUCGCUCUAUGUAUUCAGUUUUGUAAAUAAUAUAUAGAUUAGAUCAAGUUGUGAUGUAAAAUUUUAACUCAAAUUGGGUCCUAUUGGUUGGAAUUUUACAUUAACUACAAAUAAAUGAUUAGGGACAGGAGAAAUUGGGGAAAUUAUUGUUUAGUGGUAUAGAUUAUGCGUAGGUCUCUGCCUAUAUCUUGUGUUUUAUCGCUUGUUAGUGAGGCAUGGGCUAAUGCAGUGUACUGCAUUUAUGCAAUUAGCAAAUAACUGCUAGUUUUCAUUUUAUCUAUUAUAUUAGCAACAAAGUGGCAUUUAACUGGGUAAAGCUCCUACCUAGAUAUUUUGAGUAUUGUGACAUCUCAGCUUGCCAGGUUUGAAUGAAAGGGUAGUCACAGAUUAGUGAUAACAAAAAAAAGUGUCUUUUUGUUAAAACUGGCUUAUGUGUAUGGACAAUCCUCUCUCGCUGGUUUGUAUGCUGUGUCUGCUAACAUUUCUCUUUUCUUUUCUAAUAUCCAAACUUGUCAAACUCAGCUGCCAUAGUUUCCAUCCCACCAGAGUAUUUUAUAAUUGAUACCGUUGACUUUAUACCCCAGAGUGGGUCAGGAAGUGGAUCCAGGAAUGUUAUGUUGACUUUGUAAGAUUACAAUAGUUCAUUGGGACUCAGAGAGUUUGGGUGCUCACGAGAAUGCCUGCUCCUGGACAUUAGUGCUGUUGGGGGUAUAAAGUAGUAGGUGUUUGUAUUUUCGCCGUGGCAAUGAUGGACAUGAUUUUAGAUGUUCACAGCUCAGAUCUCUGUAUUUGAUUUUCAACUAACGACUAAUUUUAAAUGUACUGUAUCUUUUCCUACCUGUUCUCUUGGAUUGUUUUUUUGCUGGUAACCCUUCCUCGGCUUCUGCCCUGGGGCUUGGACUAACACUGCUUGUAUGGAUUCGCUACUGUGACUGAACGUGGAGCGCUCGCAGCUACCGCUUAACUGCUUAAACUUUGUAGUUUGGACUUUUUUUUUCUGUAAUAACAACUUAUUAAAUCUAGUUGUACGAAGCA